ACGGAAGGCAGCAGUGGGGAAUAUUGCACAAUGGGGGAAACUCUGAUGCAGCAACGCCGCGUGAAGGAAGAAGGUCUUCGGAUUGUAAACUUCUGUUUUUAGUGACGAAACAAAUGACGGUAGCUAAAGAGGAAGCCACGGCUAACUACGUGCCAGCAGCCGCGGUAAUACGUAGGUGGCAAGCGUUGUCCGGAUUUACUGGGUGUAAAGGGUGCGCAGGCGGGACUGCAAGUUGGAUGUGAAAUACCGAGGCUCAACCUCGGAGCUGCAUCCAAAACUGUAGUUCUUGAGUGAAGUAGAGGUAAGCGGAAUUCCGAGUGUAGCGGUGAAAUGCGUAGAUAUUCGGAGGAACACCAGUGGCGAAGGCGGCUUACUGGGCUUUAACUGACGCUGAGGCACGAAAGCAUGGGUAGCAAACAGGAUUAGAUACCCUGGUA
rnacentral:rRNA from 1 species